rnacentral:rRNA from 1 species
GAUGAACGCUGGCGGCGUGCCUAAUACAUGCAAGUCGAGCGAACAGAUGAGGAGCUUGCUCCUCUGACGUUAGCGGCGGACGGGUGAGUAACACGUGGAUAACCUACCUAUAAGACUGGGAUAACUUCGGGAAACCGGAGCUAAUACCGGAUAAUAUAUUGAACCGCAUGGUUCAAUAGUGAAAGACGGUUUUGCUGUCACUUAUAGAUGGAUCCGCGCCGCAUUAGCUAGUUGGUAAGGUAACGGCUUACCAAGGCUACGAUGCGUAGCCGACCUGAGAGGGUGAUCGGCCACACUGGAACUGAGACACGGUCCAGACUCCUACGGGAGGCAGCAGUAGGGAAUCUUCCGCAAUGGGCGAAAGCCUGACGGAGCAACGCCGCGUGAGUGAUGAAGGUCUUCGGAUCGUAAAACUCUGUUAUUAGGGAAGAACAAAUGUGUAAGUAACUAUGCACGUCUUGACGGUACCUAAUCAGAAAGCCACGGCUAACUACGUG